rnacentral:rRNA from 1 species
AACGAACGCUGGCGGCAUGCCUAACACAUGCAAGUCGAACGAGACCUUCGGGUCUAGUGGCGCACGGGUGCGUAACGCGUGGGAACCUGCCUUUAGGUUCGGAAUAACUCAGAGAAAUUUGAGCUAAUACCGGAUGAUGUCUUCGGACCAAAGAUUUAUCGCCUUUAGAUGGGCCCGCGUUGGAUUAGCUAGUUGGUGGGGUAAAGGCCUACCAAGGCGACGAUCCAUAGCUGGUCUGAGAGGAUGAUCAGCCACACUGGGACUGAGACACGGCCCAGACUCCUACGGGAGGAAGCAGUGGGGAAUAUUGGACAAUGGGCGAAAGCCUGAUCCAGCAAUGCCGCGUGAGUGAUGAAGGCCUUAGGGUUGUAAAGCUCUGUUAACCGAGAAGAUAAUGACAGUAUCGGGAGAAUAAGCUCCGGCUAACUCCGUG